rnacentral:lncRNA from 1 species
AACAACAACAACAAACCCAGUGUAUUCCCACCUAGUGGGGUCUGGAGGGGGGUAAGAUGUACGCAGUCCAUACCUCUACCUCUAAAGAAGUAGAAAGGCUGUUUCCGAUAGACCCCUGGCUCAAGGCACGAGAUACCACACAAACACAUAGUAAAGCACAGCACAAGAUUACAUAUCAUAAAUACGGCACCCAUAAGUAAUAUAAAACAGAGAAAAGCACACAGAUUCGUAAUAAAACAUGGAACACGGAAUCAUAACAGGCAUAAAACCCCCACCAGGUAAUUCCCUACGCCCUAGUCCUCUGCCCUAAUUCGCGUCCUCCAUACCUUCCUAUCUAGGGUCAUGUCCUCGGUGAGCUGUAAAUGCUCCAUGUCCCGCCUAAUCACCUCACUCCAGUACUUCUUCGGCCUACCCCUACCCCGCCUAAAACCAUCCAACGCUAGCCUCUCGCACCUAUGGACCGGGGCAUCCAUGCCCCUCCUCUUCACGUGUCCGAACCAUCUCAAUCGGGCUUCCCUCAUCUUGCCCUCCACUGGAGUCACACCAACCUCCGCCCGGAUAGUCUCAUUCCAAACUCUAUCCCCUCUAGUCAGCCCACACAUCCAGCGCAACAUCCGCAUUUCUGCCACAUUCAUUUUUUGGAUGUGGG